rnacentral:rRNA from 1 species
CAGUAGCCGCGGUAAAACGAAGGGUGCAAGCGUUACUCGGAAUUACUGGGCGUAAAGCGUGCGUAGGUGGUGGUUUAAGUCCGUUGUGAAAGCCCUGGGCUCAACCUGGGAAUUGCAGUGGAUACUGGGUCACUAGAGUGUGGUAGAGGAUAGUGGAAUUUCCGGUGUAGCAGUGAAAUGCGUAGAGAUCGGAAGGAACAUCUGUGGCGAAGGCGACUAUCUGGGCCAACACUGACACUGAGGCACGAAAGCGUGGGGAGCAAACAGGAUUAGAUACCCGGGUAGUCCCUGUCUCUUAUAC